AGACAAACGAUGACUAAUAGCAACAUUGUGAUUUUCAGCAUUCCCGACAACGAUGCGAAAUACGUGGCUUUUAUAACGAUGCUGCCUGACCUGCUGAGUUCCUCCAGCAUUUUGUGUGCUCCUCAGCACGGUAUUUCUCAUUGAUGUUGGUUCACAUGCAGUAAAACUCCCAAUAAUCUGUUGGGAGACAACUGGGAGAUGCCAAUAUUUUGGUAUCCGGCUCACCAGGUUUCAUCAUGAUUCAGACUUUUCCCCUGGCUGGAAGGUAAGAGCUUACCCAGGCUAUAUUUAUUGAUGUUUUUCUGCUAUUACAUCAGAUGUUUGUAAGGAUAACUUUGGCUCCUGGUGAUUUCUCCUACACCAUAGGAAUCAGUCUACCCUCCUCUUGUAUUUUCUUCAGUGGGUAAGGUUAUUGUGUGAAAAAUAUAAAUAAGUUAGGAUGGAGCUUGGACAGCAAUGUAUAUUGAUUCUAAUUCUAUUCUGAAUAUUUGUUGAAGGCUGAAGAAAAUGCAUGUUUUCUUCCAGAUAAAAAUGGCAAACAAAUGCA